rnacentral:lncRNA from 1 species
AUGGCCAAAUGGGCUCCUGAGGAUCACUUGUCUGCCUUGAGCCUCCUCCUCCAUCACCAUCGUCCGCGCGAGAUCACCCCCCCAGGAAGCCCUGCAGCUCCCUUCUGUUCUCUUUCCAGGCCCUUGUCACCCAGGCCUCGGAGCGCCAUUAUCAGCGAGAAGCUAGGUGUCACCUCGAGGUUCUCAGGAGUCCUGCCUGCAAUAUUAAUGUGGCGAACCAGAGGCCGGGGCUUCAAUAAUGAAGGAGGGCUUCGCCCGAAGAAACAUGAGCCUUUCUGGCUGAGAACAGGACAAAGACACGACGGGAAUGAGCCUGAGAUGAGCACCCCCCGCCCAGGCACACUCGGAACCCAUGUCCUGCAGACAUCAACACGGCAUCAGGUAGCAGGCACCAAAAGUUUGUACAGCUUAACCUCUCAGUGUUCCUUUCUUGACAUCUACGGGAAGGAGAGAGUCAAAAAUAUGGGAAAGCUUUAUGUUAAAGAAUACUUCUUUAACGGAGUUCCCAUCAUGGUGCAGCGGAAACGAAUCCAACUAGGAACCACGAGGUUGCGGGUUCCAUCCCUGGCCUCGCCCAGUGGGUUGGGGAUUCAGGAUUGCCGUGAGCUGUGGUGUAGGUUGAAGACACAGCUUGGAUCUGGCGUGGCUGUGGCUGUGGUGUAGGCCGGCAGCUGCAGCUCCGAUUAGACCCCUAGCCUGGGAACCUCUAUGUGCCAUGGGUGCGGCCCAAGAAAGACAAAAAAAGGAAAAGAAUACUCCUUUAUCGAAGUUCCCACUGUGGUGCAUUGGGUGAAGAAUCCGACUGCAGCAGUUUGGGUCACUGUGGAGGCAAGGGUUCCAACCCCGGCCUGGCCCUGUGCAGUGGGUUAAAAGGAUCCAGCGUUGCUGCAGCUGCAGCUGCAGCGUAGGUCACAGCUGUGGCUCCAGUUCAGUCCUUGGCCUGGGAACUUUCAUAGGCCAUGAGUAUGGCCAUAAAAAACAUUUUUUUAAAAAGAAUACUUAUUUAUUUAUAACAGUAAACGAUUAGAAAUAUCCAAACUUCUAAAUAAUAAGGGAUUUGUUAGGGAAACAAUGCCUACUCUCUGGCAAGAAUAGUCUGUAGCCAACUAAAAAUCGUGUUUACAAAUACUUUUAAUGUCAUGGGGACGUGAUCAAAAUAUAGUUAAGUGAAAGGGGCGGGGAAAUAAUAACACAAUUGUUAAGAUAAUUGUCUGAACUUGGGAAAAUGUCUUCAGCCCUCUGGGCCUCUGUGUGUCCUCAUCUGAAAAUCAGGUACCAUACCAACCACACGGCUUGUCGUGAAAAAGAAUUAGAUGUUAUUUAAUGAUCUAGGACAGAGUCUGGGGUAGACAAGCGAUUCAUGGUUCUCGCUGCAAAGAAACUUUUGACCAAAGGUGCUGGAAGACACGGUCCCCCAACAUUCAUGGCAGGUUGUGUUCAAGGGGGUAAGACAAUGAGUAAUUUCAACUUUCUCCUUUCUUUUCCUCCUUCCCAUACCUUUUAUAACCGGGUAGAUGACUGAAGGAGAACACUCCUAAUGACUUCUACUCCCUCAGCAGAUGAUUACAGUUCUGGCAAUGCACCGAGCAUUGCUGUAGGCGUUGAGAUCCGUGGAUAAGACAGAAGAUCCCUGCCUCUGCCUGGCCUAAGCAGGGCAACAGAG